AGCAACCUGCCUUUGUUCAGAAACACCUUCCAAGACUGAACCAGUUCUACUACUCAAGCAUGGAGCAGCCUUACAGAAUGAGCGCAUACAACCAAGUCCAAAUG